CCUACGGGUGGCAGCAGUGGGGAAUAUUGGACAAUGGGGGCAACCCUGAUCCAGCCAUGCCGCGUGUGUGAAGAAGGCCCUCGGGUUGUAAAGCACUUUCAGUGAGGAAGAACGCCUGGUGGUUAAUACCCAUCAGGAAAGACAUCACUCACAGAAGAAGCACCGGCUAACUCCGUGCCAGCAGCCGCGGUAAUACGGAGGGUGCGAGCGUUAAUCGGAAUUACUGGGCGUAAAGCGCGCGUAGGUGGCUUGAUGAGCCGGUUGUGAAAGCCCCGGGCUCAACCUGGGAACGGCAUCCGGAACUGUCAAGCUAGAGUGCAGGAGAGGAAGGUAGAAUUCCCGGUGUAGCGGUGAAAUGCGUAGAGAUCGGGAGGAAUACCAGUGGCGAAGGCGGCCUUCUGGACUGACACUGACACUGAGGUGCGAAAGCGUGGGUAGCAAACAGGAUUAGAUACCCUGGUAGUC
rnacentral:rRNA from 1 species